CUGCUUUGGCCUGGCGGGUGUAUCUACGGAGUUCCGUUGCGCGUUGGCAAUUCAUAAUUUAGCCCAGGCAGCAAGUCGGAGAAGGUUUUUAUCCUUCGUUUUCUCACGGACUCAGGGUCUAAUGCGGAAAGAAGCAGACCCCCUCUAAAUAAAAACUGCUGACGGUAAGAACAUAGACCCCACACUGGUUGAAACAAGGAGGCUGCUGAUGCUUGAAACUCUGCCUUGAUGCCAGCCAAUCGCAGCAUCGUCCAGGAGCUGGUCAGCCCUGCUCCUCAAACAGUACUCCAGGGCGGCUCACACGGGAUUGAGGGCGUUAGCCCGCUGUGGCCCCCUUCGCCUGGCAAAGCAAUAAGAAAAGAAAAAAAAAAACGACAAUCCCUAAAAUAGAA